rnacentral:lncRNA from 1 species
CCUUUGCUGUGCAAAACUUGUCAGUUUGAUUAGGUCCCAUUGGUUUAUUUUUGCUUUUAUUUCUGUUGCCUUAGGAUACUGACCUAAGAAAACAUUUGUGCAAUGGAUGUCAGAGAAUGUUUUGCCUAUGUUCUCUUCUAGGAGUUUGAUGGUGUCGUGUCUUGUGUUUAAGUCUUUAAGCUGUUUUGAGUUUAUUUUUGUGCAUGGUGUGAGGGUGUGUUCCAGUUCAUUGAUUUACAUGCAGCUGUCCAGUUUUCCAAGCACCACUUGCUGAAAAGACUGUCUUUUCCCCAUUUUAUAUUCUUGCCUCCUUUGUCAAAGAUUAAUUGACCAUAGGUGUCUGGGUUUUAUUCUGGGUUCUCUAGUCUGUUCCAUUGGUCUGUAUGUCUGUUUUGGUACCAAUACCACCCUGUCUUGAUGACUGUGGCUCUGUAAUAUUGCCUGAUGUCUGGGAGAGUUAUGCCUCCUGAUUGCUCUUUUUUUUUUUUACUUGGGAUUGCUUUGGCAAUUCUGGGUCUUUUAUGGUUCCACAUAAAUUUUUGGAUUGUUCUAGUUCUGUGAAAAAUAUCAUGGGUAAUUUGAUAGGGAUGGCAUUGAAUCUCUAGAUUGCUUUGGGUAGCAUGGUCAUUUUUACAAUAUUAAGUUUUCAAACCUAAGAGCAUGGAAUAUCUUUCCAUUUCUUUGAAUCCUCUAUAUUUUCCUUGAUUAAUGUUUUAUAGUUCUCAGCAUAUAAGUCUUUCCUAUUUGAUCAGGUUUACUCUCAAAUAAUUAAUUUUUUGGGGUGCAAUUUUAAAAGGUAUUGUAUUUUUGUAUUCCUUUUCUAAUACUUCAUUUUUAGUAAACAGAAGUGUGACCAAUUUCUGAAUGUUAUUCUUGUAUCCUGCUACUUUGCUGAAUUUGUUGAUCAGUUUGAGUAGUUUCUGCGUUGAGUCAUUAGGAUAGUCUAUAUAUAAUAUCAUGUCAUCUGCAUAGAGUGACAAUUUUAUCUAUUUUCUUCCAAGUUGGACACAUUUUAUUUCUUUUGUUUGCCUAAUUGCUGUGGCUAGGUCUUCCAAUACUAUGUUGAAUAAAAGUGGUGAGAUUGGGCAUCCUUGUCCUGUUCCAGAUUUUAGCAGAAGGCUUUCAGCUUUUCUCCAUUAAGUAUUAUAUUUACUGUGGGUUUGUCAUAAAUGGCUUUUGUUAUGUUAAGGUAUGUUCCCUCUAUACUCAUUUUGGUAAGAAUUUUUAUUAUGAAUGGAUGUUCACUUUGUCAAAUGCUUUUUCUACAUCUAUUGAGAUGAUCAUGUGAUUUUUGACUUUUCUUUUGUUAAUGUGGCAUAUGAAAUUGAUUGAUUUUCAUAUGUUGAACCAUCCUUG